UGUUGAGGCAAAAAAGAAGGCGCAGUUGGAAUAUGAAGUUAUUAGUAUGAAGUAGCAACUCAGGCUCAUUUGGAAAGUUAUGCCGAUAAGCAAGAUGGAAUUUGGAAAAAAAUGUUUUAAAUCGAGUGGCGUUAUUUAAGAUGUGCUCCAAAUAUUUAGCGAACUUUUUUUUCGCCUUCUCAACGUGCUAAGUGACAAGAUAAGAUGACUGCCACCACGGCCGGUAAGAAGCCCGAAGCAAAGUAAAAACUAUCUUCCAGGAAGCUGCCUGCUGUCCCCGAGUCGAAGCUGAAGUUAAGCAAGAAGCAGGUCAGUAAACGUGCUACCCUAAUCAAGCGUAAACUAAAGCGCUCUGCUGUGAUUGCACUCCGCAAGCGUGAAAACUUGGAGCAUGCUGAGAAAUAUCAAGCAAAAUAUCUCCGUGAUGGACGCCGUGAGGUGAACUUGCGCCAUCUGGCAAAGAAACGCGGCCCAUUCUACGUACCCGCAGAAUGGCUUUUGUGAUCUGUAUCUGCGGUAUCAAAAAAGUUGCACCAAAAGUGCGUAACAUUUUACUGUGGUUCCGUGUUCGCCACAUUAACAACGGUUUGUUCAUCGAAUUGAACAAGGCAUCCAUUAAUAUGCUACGGAUUCCCGAACCCUAUAUUAUAUGGGGUUAUCCAAAUCUUAAAUCAGUUCGUGAAUUGAUCUACAAACGUGGAAUUGUUAAGCACAACCAUCAACUUGUCCCAAACUCUGACAACUUUGUGAUCGAACGCAAAUUGUGCAAAGCGCACGAUAUUCAGUGCGUUGAUUAUUUGGCAGUUUUCACUGUUGGAUCCCACUUCAAGAAAGCCUCCAACUUACUGUGGCCACUACGUUGAGGUUGGUGAUUUCGGUAGCCGUGAAGAUCAUAUCAACAAACUGCUGCCCGAGAUAGUUUAAAGAAAUUUUCUGGUGUACAAGGUUUAACCCGCAAAUAUGCCAAAUGGAAGGCAGCUUAUAUUCACAAUUCCUUGAACAAUGUCGAAAUUCUAUUGCCGUUUGUAAAGGCCAUUUCAAACGGCUUCA